UGGGAGGAAACUGACGCUGAGACACGAAAGCUAGGGGAGCGAAGCAGAUNAGAGACCUGCGUAGUCCUAGCCCUAAACAAAUGCUUGCUAGCUGCAUUGUCGGGCUUUUAGCCUUACGGUGUGGCGAAGGUAACCCGUUAAGCAAGCCGCCUGGGGAGUACGACCGCAAGGUUAAAACUCAAAGGAAUUGGCGGGGAGGCACACAACCAGUGGAACAUGUGGUUUAAUUCGAAACGAACCGAAGAACCUUACCAGGGUUUGACAUCUCAGCGUUCUAGUUCCGAGAAAUCGGGAUAAUCCGCAAGGAGGCUGGGACAGGUACUGCAUGGCUGUCGUAAGCUCGUUCCGUGAGGAGUACCCUUAAGUGGGACAACGAGCGCAACCCUUGUCCUGUGUUAAAUAUGUCACAGGAGACUGCUUCGAUGUUUCAUCGGAGAGGAAGGAGAGGCAGACGUCAAGUCAGCAUGGUUCUUAUACCCUGGGCCACACACAUGUUACAAUGAAAAGAAACAACGGGUAUUGCUACUCUGCAAAGAGCGGCUAAUCCCUCAAAUCUUUUCUCAGUGGGGAUUGAGGUCUGCAACUCGACCUCAUGAACUCGGAAUUGGUAGUAAUCGCGGAUCAGUCAUGCCGCGGUGAAUGCGUUCUUGCCUCUUGCACACACCGCCCGUCAAGCCAACAAAGUCGGAUUUAUCUGAACCUCGAUUUAUUCGAGGGAGGAUAGUUUCGGCGAUGGGGGUUAAGUCGUAACAAGGUAACCGUAAAGGG
rnacentral:rRNA from 1 species